GGUCGACCUGAGGAGGGGGAGCAACGACCGUGUGUGUUUCAGAGCGGAAGGAUUUAAAUGCGGCAGUGACAGCACCAAGGCUGUGAUCAGUCCGGACGGUUGCUUCCUGGCAGCUGGCUCAGCAGACGGAGCAGUUUACAUCUGGAACGUCUCGACGGGCAACCUGGAGACACGCCUACCUGACCAACACAGCUCGUCCAUCAGUGCUGUGGCCUGGUCUCUGUCGGGUGAAUACGUCGUCAGUGUGGAUAGAAGUAGGCUGGCCAUCCUCUGGAGCGACAUCUGAAACGACCAAUCCAUAGAGAGGUCACGUUGUCACGGCAACACCCCACACAGCACGCCUCACUUUCAGACACAAACCGGUCUGAGAGCUGUCAAAGGGAACAGCUGGGUUUCGGUGUUUCUCAGCCUGUUUUUUAUUGGACAAGAGGGAUGUGAAACUUUCUGUUUGGUGCUUUUUUAAUCUUUUACAUUUUCUAACAGAACUGAGAAGAAUUCCUGAAACUUUUCUUCCAGCGUUCAGCUUUUGAACUGACAACAACGACAAACGGAAACCUGAAUCAAAAACCACUUUAACAUGCUUUUAUUGUUUGAAACUUCCCCCGGCACACUGACCUUGUUUGUAACCUUUAAUAUCAAAAACAUUUGUAAUAUUUACCAUCAGAGCCACCAUUAGACAGAUUGAACUAAACCUGACCUUCUUUUAAACGAGGUUAAACCUACAGACAUGAAAAGAAACCCACCACAGGUGGACCAGGUGGACAGGUGGUCUAGGAGCAAAGGAGUGAAACCUAACCAUGGUGUCAUCACAUUACUCAAACUUAGGACCAGACUUUAUGACCACGUGUUGGUCCGUCUAACCAGCGGAUGUGCAGGACGUAAACUCCCGUCAUGGAGACACUGGAGGAGGUCACUGCUGAGAUCAGAAGGAACAGAAUAUUAACAUCAAUAAUCAAAAGUUACAUCAGAUCAGACUGAACACACCGUCUGCUCCUUUUCCUCCAGGCACGGACGUAACGGUCGCUUUUCCUCGUCGACCUCUUAAACCAAACGGAUCCGUCGCAGAUAUUCUGACGGUGACACAUCAUACACAUGACUCUACACUGACCCUACUGGUCAGUUGUAGUUCAAGGCAAGUUUGACAUAUCAAACCCAAACGGAUCCAUAGAGAUCGUUAACGAAUAAGAAAAGUAAAGGUGCCAAGCGCACUGAUUUGUAUCAGUUUAUACAAAAAAUGGAAGGUUUGAUCUUUUCGUCCUUUUGAAACACUUUUUCUGCUUCAGCCUCAUCUUCUGUGUCUUUGUGGUCGUUAGCGUAA